AUUGGAUUUGAUUUUGUAUUAUUUUCAUGUAUAAACGGAAAUAGAUGUCAUAGUGGCUUGGAUCGUUUACAUGACCACAUCAUUCCUAUGGAAGCUACAUGUCUGCCCAGUAAAAAGACAGUGAUUCAAGAGGCUGUAUUUAAGUUUAGCAACAGCUAAAUCACAGAAAUGGUCUACAGUUGUGUCUGUUUUCUAUUCCUGUAGUAAAGGACCUAGAGGACAAGACUGUGAUCAGAAGAUGAGAUAAGAAAGGGAAAAUUAACACAAGCAUGCAUUUAAAAUGAAAGUAUUGCAGUAUUAGCAGACCAAGUCCUGUUUAGGAAGGCUUUUAACAGUUAUCAACAAUUCUUUAAAAAACAGCUACAGUUUACAUGUGCAGCCAGUUGCUUUCUAAUUGCUACAGCAGGCUACCACUGGGAAGAACAAAGGAAAUAUUUAGCACAUCGUAAAUUCUUCUGCGGCCCUGCCGAGUGGCUGGAGUUCAGAUUACACGUUUAUAACCAACAUUUGAGAGCAAUUUCUCCUUAGCUUUGAGAAAGUGGGUGGGGAAGCUGUUCGACACUUUCUUCAAAUGCCUGAAGUAAUGUGUGUCUGAAAGAAACUUGGGUUCAGAAUUCUGUUCCACUUGUCUUUUGAUUCAGGCUUGUAAUGUACUGUAAUAUGUUGAAAUGUUCAGAAAAAACUUUGUUAAAAACAGAUGUAUGUGCCAUUGUUGGUGUUACUACUAUUUGCUUCCAACUUUACCACAACUGAGUGUGAUUUGCUGAAAUCUUGCAAACUGAUCAGUGUUUACUUCCACAGAUGCUAAGGAUCUUGCAAAUGCUGUAGUGGGCUGUGCUGGUACAUGGACGGGAGGUACUCUGAGCAGAUUAUUGUUGUUUCACAUUUUGGCACACUGCCCCAGAAGCCCAUGAAGUUGUUUCCUGCCAGGAGGCUCUGUACAAAGCAGGGAAAAAUGACCAAAAAAACUGUGACUAGUUAUUUGUUGC
rnacentral:lncRNA from 1 species